rnacentral:SRP_RNA from 2 species
GCCAGGCAUGGUGGUGCACGCCUGUAAUCCCAGCUACUCAGGAGGCUGAGGCAGGAGAAUCGCUUGAACCUGGGAGGUGGGGGUUGUAGUGAGCCAAGAUUGUGCUGCUGCACUCCAACCUGAGUGACAGAGCGAGACUCUAUCUUUUUUUUUUUUUUUUUUGAUAUGGAGUCUCGCUCUGUCACCCAGGCUGGAGUGCAGUGGUGCAAUCUUGGCUCGCGGCAACCUCUGCCUCUCGGGUUCAAGCAAUUUUCCUGCCUCAG